rnacentral:rRNA from 1 species
AUUGAACGCUGGCGGCAGGCCUAACACAUGCAAGUCGAACGAGUGGCGGACGGGUGAGUAAUGUCUGGGAAACUGCCCGAUGGAGGGGGAUAACUACUGGAAACGGUAGCUAAUACCGCAUACCAUCGGAUGUGCCCAGAUGGGAUUAGCGAGUAGGUGGGGUAACGGCGCACCUAGGCGACGAUCCCUAGCUGGUCUGAGAGGAUGACCAGCCACCUGGGAAUUGGGACACGGGCCAGACUCCUCCGGGAGGCGGCAGUGGGGAAUAUUGCACAAUGGGGGCAAGCCUGAGGCAGCCAUGCCGCGUGGGUGAAGAAGGCCUUCGGGUUGUAAAGCACUUUCAGCGGGGAGGCGUUACCCGCAGAAGAAGCACCGGCUAACUCCGUGCCAGCAGCCGCGGUAAUUC